CACUCGGCCGCUGCUGCCUGCACACGCUCUCCAGCGCGUGUCCUCCCCUCCUGCUCCAGCCCUGGCUGUUUGAGGGCAGGGACUUUCGGUCUUCUUAAUCCCUGUGUCCGCCCUUACCCUGAAUCCCGUUCCAAGCAAGGAACAGCCACUCAGCCCGGACCUGGACCCACUGGCUCCUCUGACGGAGAGGGAGGAGCAGAAGCAGGUUCAGCUGCUGGUGACCCAGAAAGGUCUGUGUGCAAACAAUGGUCCCAAAGAUGGAAAGAUCUAUGGUGAACACAACAAGACCUACCCACCCUGCCUCCUACAACACACAACGUAAAAACUGCCUUUCACUUUUCCCAAUUCUGUUCUGGUUAAUCUCCUGUCUCAUGUGGGAAAAGACAAAUACUAACACUGCAAACGAACAAUAUCCAUGAUCUUUUGAGGAUACUUUAGGGAUAGGAA